CCCCAGCGCCACAAGUGGUUAUCACGAUUAUUGGGCGUAAAGAGCUCGUAGGCGGCUUGUCACGUCGACUGUGAAAACCCGGGGCUCAACUCCGGGCCUGCAGUCGAUACGGGCUGGCUUGAGUGCGGUAGGGGAGACUGGAAUUCCUGGUGUAGCGGUGAAAUGCGCAGAUAUCAGGAGGAACACCGGUGGCGAAGGCGGGUCUCUGGGCCGUAACUGACGCUGGGGAGCGAAAGCGUGGGGAGCGAACAGG
rnacentral:rRNA from 1 species